GCACGGCUAAUAUACUUGGGCAGGCAGGGGAAAUCCGUAUACCUUUCAGCUGAGAACAUAAGAACAACUGAACAGGUUUCCGGAUUCCCUGACCUGAUCUGGGAACAGCCACUUCUUG
rnacentral:precursor_RNA from 15 species